CCGACAUGGACAUCCGGCGAGUGCCUCUCGCCGGCUCUGUCCUCGUGGCGUAAGGGAGCGUAGCUCUCGAGCCAAGACGUAAAGUCCCAUUCCACAAUGUCGGAGACAAAGCUCUGUCCCCGGCCGUCGGCCGGCGAGGACGAGCGUCCUGCAUAUUCCUACAUCUUCCCAGAGUCUUAACGGACCGUGACUGGGGAGCUAAACCAUGCAGUGCACACGA